AGAGCGAACGCUGGCGGCAUGCUUAACACAUGCAAGUCGCACGGGCACUUCGGUGUCAGUGGCGGACGGGUGAGUAACGCGUAGGUAUCUAUCCUUGGGUGGGGGACAACGGUUGGAAACGACUGCUAAUACCGCAUAAUAACUGAGGUUUAAAGGCGCAAGUCGCCUGAGGAGGAGCCUGCGUACGAUUAGCUAGUUGGUGGGGUAAAGGCCUACCAAGGCGACGAUCGUUAGCUGGUCUGAGAGGAUGAUCAGCCACAUUGGGACUGAGACACGGCCCAAACUCCUACGGGAGGCAGCAGUGGGGAAUAUUGGACAAUGGGCGAAAGCCUGAUCCAGCAAUGCCGCGUGUGUGAAGAAGGUCUUCGGAUUGUAAAGCACUUUCGACAGGGACGAUGAUGACGGUACCUGUAGAAGAAGCCCGGCUAACUUCGUGCCAGCAGCCGC
rnacentral:rRNA from 1 species